rnacentral:tRNA from 1 species
CGAAAUAGAGCUUGAAGGUUAAGCUGUUCAUUUACAUUGAAUUUAUUGUUUUCGUAAAACAUAUUUUGA